AUGAGGACCCCAUGGGCUUCUCUAGCCAGAAGCACAUUUCAGACAUGGAUGGUGCUUGGAAAUCUCAUCAAAAUCAGUCAUCACGUUUGGUGUCUGCAGCUAGUUGCAACAACAUUGCACGCAGAGCACUCAUGGCAUUGUCCCCGGCCCAACGCUCUGGCUGAUAGCUACACACUAACCACACGCAUAUGCACUCCCCUGAGUCCUUUCUUCCUUCCUACUAUAAAUCCAUGGCCUGCUCAGCACAAACUUCAUCUCAUCUCAAUCAGCAUCACAAUCUACAACACACCUUCAGACUUCCAGAGCCAAAGUGAAAUUUAG
rnacentral:rRNA from 1 species